UACGGGGGGGGCAAGCGUUGUUCGGAAUUACUGGGCGUAAAGGGCUCGUAGGCGGCCAACUAAGUCAGACGUGAAAUCCCUCGGCUUAACCGGGGAACUGCAUCUGAUACUGGAUGGCUUGAGAUUGGGAGAGGGAUGCGGAAUUCCAGGUGUAGCGGUGAAAUGCGUAGAUAUCUGGAGGAACACCGGUGGCGAAGGCGGCGCGCUGGACCCCUUCUGACGCUGAUGCGCGAAAGCCAGGGGAGCAAACGGG
rnacentral:rRNA from 1 species